UUCUUAUCAAGAGCAGGUGGAGGGACGAGCCCUUUGAAGCCCGGCAACCGAUCUAAUUUGUUUAGACACGGUGCUAAUUCUUGCAGCUAUAAGGCUGAGAGAUAAGAA
rnacentral:ncRNA from 2 species